UCAGCACCAUAGGGGAUAGUGGGGGAAAGUUUGAAAGGUUAAACACUGGAGAAUGAGUCUGUUUACCCUUAUCCACCUGUAUGAAACCUUCAUUGUUACCUACAUUAUCAGUAAUUACUGCAGGAAGUACCAUCUGAUCAGGUAUAAUCUGCUGUUUGGGGCUAUCUUGAGGCUGCAUAGGAACUUCAUUUAUCACUUUAGGUCUCCAUUGCUGAACAGUUUUAGGCUUGUGAUUAGGAGGAGGUUUGUGGACAGCUAAGCAAUUAUGACCAACCAUAAGACACUUUUCACAAUAUGCUGGCUUCCAAUCAUAAGAGACAUCCUGAACAAAUCUCUUACCAUUUGGAUCUAUAAGUUCAACCUCAGUUGGUAGUACUUUGGAAACAUUGACCUCAAUGAGCAUACGAGCAAAAGAAAUCCUAGUCUGCUUAGUAGUACAUUCAUCAGCAAAAAUAGGUUUACCAAGAACACUGGCAAUCCUACUUAAGGAUUUAAUACCCCAGCAGGACAUUGGAAGAUUAGGGAACUUCACCCACAAAGGAAUUUCACUGGGAAACUCAGCAGUAAAAUCAAAAUCAGCAGACCAUUGUUUCAAAAUCAUGGGUCUAUUAGCAAUAGUAUAUGGUCCAGCACACAUCACUUCCUUAGCAUCUUCUAUAGUUUGGAAUUUGGCCACAUAAUAACCCUCUUCAUGAUAAAAUAAAUCUGGUUCUGGGACAUGUGACCAGUGAAGGUUAAUAAAUCGUUUCAUUGCAUUAAAACCUGGUCCAUUCCCAAACACAAAAAUUACUAGAGCACUCUUCCAUUUUCGUUCUAGUGAAGGUUAAUAAAUCGUUUCAUUACACUAAAACCUGGUCCAUUCCCAAACACAAAAACUACUAGAGCACUCUUCCAUUUUCGUUCUUCUUCCUCUACAU
rnacentral:lncRNA from 1 species